AGGAGAGGGUUUCAGGAAGGAACGACUGGUCAACACUGUACACUUUCAAAGGUCAGAGAAUUUAAGAGCUGAAAGUUGUGCUGUACGUUCUGAGAACUAAGAGGAAUUUGGAGACCUUCUACCGUGGAGAGGUGCAGGCAGAAGCAAGGAUUUGGUUUUCUCACGUAUUUCUUCAACCAGAAUCCCCCACAGAAGCUGGAGUGGAAGGUGCCCAGCAUGGUAACAACCGGCACACAGACAGAACCUGGAAAAGACAAUUUGUUAAUGUUUAUCCUGGCCAGGGGAGCAGGCUGCUGACUGAC